AGAGUUUGAUCCUGGCUCAGGAUGAACGCUAGCGGCAGGCCUAACACAUGCAAGUCGAGGGGCAUCGGGAUUGAAGCUUGCUUCAAUUGCCGGCGACCGGCGCACGGGUGCGUAACGCGUAUGUAACCUACCUAUAACAGGGGCAUAACACUGAGAAAUUGGUACUAAUUCCCCAUAAUAUUCGGAGAGGCAUCUCUCCGGGUUGAAAACUCCGGUGGUUAUAGAUGGACAUGCGUUGUAUUAGCUAGUUGGUGAGGUAACGGCUCACCAAGGCAACGAUACAUAGCCGACCUGAGAGGGUGAUCGGCCACACUGGGACUGAGACACGGCCCAGACUCCUACGGGAGGCAGCAGUAGGGAAUCUUCGGCAAUGGGGGGAACCCUGACCGAGCAACGCCGCGUGAGUGAAGAAGGUUUUCGGAUCGUAAAGCUCUGUUGUUAAGGAAGAACGAGUGUGAGAAUGGAAAGUUCAUACUGUGACGGUACUUAACCAGAAAGGGACGGCUAACUACGUGCCAGCAGCCGCGGUAAUACGUAGGUCCCGAGCGUUGUCCGGAUUUAUUGGGCGUAAAGCGAGCGCAGGCGGUUAGAAAAGUCUGAAGUGAAAGGCAGUGGCUCAACCAUUGUAGGCUUUGGAAACUGUUUAACUUGAGUGCAGAAGGGGAGAGUGGAAUUCCAUGUGUAGCGGUGAAAUGCGUAGAUAUAUGGAGGAACACCGGUGGCGAAAGCGGCUCUCUGGUCUGUAACUGACGCUGAGGCUCGAAAGCGUGGGGAGCGAACAGGAUUAGAUACCCUGGUAGUCCACGCCGUAAACGGUGGAUGCUGGAUGUGGGGACCAUUCCACGGUCUCCGUGUCGGAGCCAACGCGUUAAGCAUCCCGCCUGGGGAGUACGGCCGCAAGGCUAAAACUCAAAGAAAUUGACGGGGGCCCGCACAAGCGGCGGAGCAUGCGGAUUAAUUCGAUGCAACGCGAAGAACCUUACCUGGGCUUGACAUGUUCCCGACAGCCCCAGAGAUGGGGCCUCCCUUCGGGGCGGGUUCACAGGUGGUGCAUGGUCGUCGUCAGCUCGUGUCGUGAGAUGUUGGGUUAAGUCCCGCAACGAGCGCAACCCUCGCCCUGUGUUGCCAGCACGUCGUGGUGGGAACUCACGGGGGACCGCCGGGGUCAACUCGGAGGAAGGUGGGGAUGACGUCAGAUCAUCAUGCCCCUUACGUCCAGGGCUUCACGCAUGCUACAAUGGCCGGUACAACGGGAUGCGACACCGCGAGGUGGAGCGGAUCCCUUAAAACCGGUCUCAGUUCGGAUUGGAGUCUGCAACCCGACUCCAUGAAGGCGGAGUCGCUAGUAAUCGCGGAUCAGCAACGCCGCGGUGAAUGCGUUCCCGGGCCUUGUACACACCGCCCGUCAAGUCAUGAAAGUGGGUAGCACCCGAAGCCGGUGGCCCAACCUUUUUGGGGGGAGCCGUCUAAGGUGAGACUCGUGAUUGGGACUAAGUCGUAACAAGGUAGCCGUACCGGAAGGUGCGGCUG
rnacentral:rRNA from 1 species